GCAGGGGUGGCAGAGCAUGGUCAAACCUGCACUAAGCGAAAGAGGGGCUAAAUGCGCGGGACUCAAGAUCCCGUCCCAUAGGGGUUCGUGGGUUCAAAUCCCACCCCCUGCACCA
rnacentral:tRNA from 1 species